UGCAAAGAGUUCCAAAUAUGCCCGUCAAUCACUAUCAUCAAUAGAAACUCAGCCACUAUCAUCAAUGUUGUGACGGCGGAUAAAGUGAAUCUAGUUGAAGAUAAGUAUGUCAGUCAUGCUGAGAAUGAAUUGGAAAUUCAGUUUUGCUUUCUUCAACUGGAAGAUUUGCCCAAUGGUGUACUUGCUGAAAGUAGAAUGGAUAUUAAAUGGUCGACAGCAACCUAGCAUUGUGAUGGAACCAGCUGGUAUCAGAUCAUGCUGACUAAUAUGCCCUAGUCGCCACGGAUGCUGUCGGAGGUUCCCACUAGAUGUGAGAAACCAUAAUAUGUAAAGAGCUCUAUCUAUUGUAUGUCUGUAGCAGUUGAUGGCAGUCGUUAACAAAUGUCUUAGUUGAUGUCAAAUAACUAUCUACUAUUUAGAUAAAUGCUUAAACUGAACUGAAAUGCAGCUCUGUCAAAUAGCAUCAACAUUUCUUUCUCAUCUGCAUUCACUUCUGACGGUAUACUUGACAGUCUAAUUAUUCCAAGCUAGAGGGGAAAAAUAAUUGCAAUUGUUAGUAGUAAUACGGACAUAUUAGCUUCUGAGGGAAAAAAGGAAUAUAAGUCUGUUACAAUCAGGGCUCAGCCACAUACCUCAUCAUUGUAGUUAAACAGCUUAUCCAUGCACAACAGACUUACAACUCUUAAUGUUUAAUACCCUAAUAUAGUAAUCAACUAACAAAUGUAAUAGAAAUUACUGUUUUUGAAAUGUAUCGUAAUAUAAGUUAUAACAGUUACUACAUUACAUAACAAUAGCAACAUAAUGCAAAUUAAAACUUUAUACUACUUAUAAACUUACUUGUAAUAGAACUCUUUUCUUUUACAUCUAUGAUGUUAUGAAAUUUUGAUAAAUGGCUCCUUAAUAAUAUCUGAGUUGUGAAACACACCUCGCAACCAUUUACUGUACAUUUCAAACUUCCAGUUGUUUCAUCUGCUUUAUAAACGUUCCUUCGAUGCUCGUACAAAUUUUUAUAAAUUUUUUCGCAAUAUUUGCUAAUCAUUUUAUUCAUUAUUAAACAUAAAUAAUAACAAGUUAAUAAGUAAUAAUAGGAAGCACUAAUAACAUGUGUAAACAGAGCAAGUGUGAAAACUAAAUAUCAAAUCUGUUGCAAAGGAUUUCUUUUUUGACUUUAUGAAAAAAAAAAAUUUGUUAAUGCUGUUGAUAGAAAAAAUCACUUUCAGAAAAUGAAAGUCUUGAUAUAUUGAACGGGCUAAUAACUUCCAAAGUAGAUUUAUUUCUAAAUAUAAUUCACGAAUGCCCUCAGUAGACGAUUAAAAUUGUGAUGGUAUGUCUUUGGAUCAUCCCUAGGGAUGUUUCCCAAACUGUCGCCAAUAGCCCAUUGUUAUAUGUUGAUACUUCAAUAAGUUUUUUCCACUUACCCUUUUUUUUGUUUCUCACUGAAAUUAUGUCUUUGCAUACCGUUAUUUUUACAAUACCUGAAAUUUCUUAAUUAAAAUAUCUGCAACUAAAUCUAGAGAACGAAAUACUAUGUUGGUACAUGUAUACUAAAAGGGAAGGAAAAUAUUUUAUGAAUGCUUUAAUGUUUGUGUUCAAUUUCUUUAAACAUAACAUAGGUUGUAAUUCAGUUCUUGAAAGCUUUCCUGAAAACAUUAUAGUAAGAGAAAAUUUAUUUAAAUUGUGACUGCUGUUCUUAAUUAAAACAUUUUUUUCUUUUU